UAGAGGAGAGUUUUCCCAGAAGGUCCGGAGGUGCAGUCUGUUGUCUCUCCUCUGCCCCACACCCCCUUUCACUUCCUGCAUCAGAAUUUCCCAGAAUUGUUCCUGUCUCCAUCAUUGCACACCCAGGACUGGAGGUCUUCAUACUUCAUUGACAUGGUUGGACCCCCUGCAAGACUGUCAAAGCUGAAAUGGAAGCAGGGCCAGAGACCAGGCUGGAGCUGAGCAGUGGGAGACUUUGAAGAUUGGGACAAGAUGGGAGCUGAGGGAGAAGUGAUGGAGGGUGCUGACAACUGGGGUGCAGGAGAACAAGGUUGACCAGUGAGACAGAACACGUAUCGGAGCUAUAGACCACGAUUCCACAGGGGCCCUCCUCCCAAAAGACAGCCUACAGAGGACAGCAAUGAAGAGGAUAAGGAAAAUCAAGAGAUGAGAUUCAAGGUCAGCCGCCACCUCAACGUCGACAUCACUGUAGCUUUAAUUACUGAUGUAGAUGCUCAAUAAACCCUAAACCACAAGAUGGGAAAGAGCCCAAAGCAACUGACCCACCAGCUAAUUUGUUGACUCCAGAGGCUGAGAAGGGUGGGCUGAGUAAAUGCUGAUUUAUCAUGUCUACUAUCAUCCAGUUAAGUUACACAAAAGAGGAAAUUAAUUCAAAAUUCCAGUAAUCAGAAAUGAGCAAAAGUUUGGCCCUGAAAAUCUUAAGUGCUUGCUUUUUGGUUGUUGACCAGAUAACUGGAACUAUCUGCAUUAUCUAUACAGCAUGGGUUUUUAUUAUUUUUACUUAAAGAUAUCUCUUUUUGGUAAUGACAAAUAUGUUUUUUAAGCCAGAUUUUUCUCAAUACAUCUUUAAAGGUUUUAAAAUACUU